AACGAACGCUGGCGGCGUGCCUGAGACAUGCAAGUCGUGGGAGAAAGUCGGAGCAAUCCGGCUAGUAAACCGGCGCACGGGUGAGUAACACGUGGACAACCUGCCUUGGAGUUCGGGAGUAACCCGUCGAAAGACGGACUAAUACCGGAUAUGACCACGGGGAGUUCGCUCUCUGAGGUAAAAGAUGGCCUCUGCUCCUGCAAGCUAUCUCUUCGAGAGGGGUCCGCGUCCUANCAGCUAGUUGGUGAGGUAACGGCUCACCAAGGCUAAGACGGGUAGGCUGGUCUGAGAGGAUGGUCANCCACACUGGGACUGAGACACGGCCCAGAGUCCUACGGGAUGCAGCAGUCAGGAAUA
rnacentral:rRNA from 1 species